AGAGCAUGACUGGGUUUAAAGCGCGUAGGCGGACAUUUAAGUCAGGGGUGAAAUCCCGGGGCUCAACCUCGGAACUGCCUUUGAUACUGGGUGUCUUGAGUGUGAGAGAGGUAUGUGGAACUCCGAGUGUAGAGGUGAAAUUCGUAGAUAUUCGGAAGAACACCAGUGGCGAAGGCGACAUACUGGCUCAUUACUGACGCUGAGGCGCGAAAGCGUGGGGAGCAAACAGGAUUAGAUACCCUGGUAGUCCACGCCGUAAACGAUGAUUGCUAGUUGUCGGGGAGCUUGCUCUUCGGUGACGCAGCUAACGCAUUAAGCAAUUCCGCCUGGGGAGUACGGUCGCAAGAUUAAAACUUAAAAAAUUACGGA
rnacentral:rRNA from 1 species